rnacentral:rRNA from 1 species
UACGAAGGGGGCUAGCGUUGCUCGGAAUCACUGGGCGUAAAGCGCACGUAGGCGGAUCUUUAAGUCAGGGGUGAAAUCCCGGAGCUCAACUCCGGAACUGCCUUUGAUACUGGGGAUCUUGAGUUCGAGAGAGGUGAGUGGAACUGCGAGUGUAGAGGUGAAAUUCGUAGAUAUUCGCAAGAACACCGGUGGCGAAGGCGGCUUCCUGGACCGACACUGACGCUGAGGCGCGAAAGCUAGGGGAGCAAACGGG